CUCCUUGACGUUAGCGGCGGACGGGUGAGUAACACGUGGGUAACCUACCUAUAAGACUGGGAUAACUUCGGGAAACCGGAGCUAAUACCGGAUAAUAUUUCGAACCGCAUGGUUCGAUAGUGAAAGGUGGUUUUGCUAUCACUUAUAGAUGGACCCGCGCCGUAUUAGCUAGUUGGUAAGGUAACGGCUUACCAAGGCGACGAUACGUAGCCGACCUGAGAGGGUGAUCGGCCACACUGGAACUGAGACACGGUCCAGACUCCUACGGGAGGCAGCAGGC
rnacentral:rRNA from 1 species